rnacentral:rRNA from 1 species
UCGGACGGGUGAGUAAUACGUGGGUAACCUGCCUGUAAGACUGGGAUAACUCCGGGAAACCGGAGCUAAUACCGGAUAGUUCCUUGAACCGCAUGGUUCAAGGAUGAAAGACGGUUCGGCUGUCACUUACAGAUGGACCCGCGGCGCAUUAGCUAGUUGGUGAGGUAACGGCUCACCAAGGCGACGAUGCGUAGCCGACCUGAGAGGGUGAUCGGCCACACUGGGACUGAGACACGGCCCAGACUCCUACGGGAGGCAGCAGUAGGGAAUCUUCCGCAAUGGACGAAAGUCUGACGGAGCAACGCCGCGUGAGUGAUGAAGGUUUUCGGAUCGUAAAGCUCUGUUGUUAGGGAAGAACAAGUGCAAGAGUAACUGCUUGCACCUUGACGGUACCUAACCAGAAAGCCACGGCUAACUACGUGCCAGCAGCCGCGGUAAUACGUAGGUGGCAAGCGUUGUCCGGAAUUAUUGGGCGUAAAGGGCUCGCAGGCGGUUUCUUAAGUCUGAUGUGAAAGCCCCCGGCUCAACCGGGGAGGGUCAUUGGAAACUGGGAAACUUGAGUGCAGAAGAGGAGAGUGGAAUUCCACGUGUAGCGGUGAAAUGCGUAGAGAUGUGGAGGAACACCAGUGGCGAAGGCGACUCUCUGGUCUGUAACUGACGCUGAGGAGCGAAAGCGUGGGGAGCGAACAGGAUUAGAUACCCUGGUAGUCCACGCCGUAAACGAUGAGUGCUAAGUGUUAGGGGGUUUCCGCCCCUUAGUGCUGCAGCUAACGCAUA